rnacentral:sRNA from 1 species
UCAUCGUCAUUGAAUGCCGGUGGUUGGC